rnacentral:rRNA from 1 species
GACGAACGCUGGCGGCGUGCUUAACACAUGCAAGUCGAACGGAAAGGCCCUGCUUUUGUGGGGUGCUCGAGUGGCGAACGGGUGAGUAACACGUGAGUAACCUGCCCUUGACUUUGGGAUAACUUCAGGAAACUGGGGCUAAUACCGGAUAGGAGCUCCUGCUGCAUGGUGGGGGUUGGAAAGUUUCGGCGGUUGGGGAUGGACUCGCGGCUUAUCAGCUUGUUGGUGGGGUAGUGGCUUACCAAGGCUUUGACGGGUAGCCGGCCUGAGAGGGGGACCGGGGACAUUGGGACUGCGGGACGGACCAGAAUCCUACGGGAGGCAGCAGUGGGGAGUAUUGCACAAUGGGGGGAAGCGUGAUGCAGCAACGCCGCGUGCGGGAUGACGGCCUUCGGGUUGUAAACCGCUUUCGCCUGUGACGAAGCGGGAGUGACGGUAAUGGGUAAAGAAGCACCGGCUAACUACGUG